rnacentral:rRNA from 1 species
UCGGGAAUUUUGGGCAAUGGGGGAAACCCUGACCCAGCAACGCCGCGUGAAGGAUGAAGUAUUUCGGUAUGUAAACUUCGAAAGAAUAGGAAGAAUAAAUGACGGUACUAUUUAUAAGGUCCGGCUAACUACGUGCCAGCAGCCGCGGUAAUACGUAGGGACCAAGCGUUGUUCGGAUUUACUGGGCGUAAAGAGCUCGUAGGCGGUUGCGUAAGUCGGAUGUGAAAACUCAGGGCUCAACCCUGAGACGCCAUCCGAUACUGCGCUGACUUGAAUCCAGUAGGGGAGUGCGGAAUUCCUGGUGUAGCGGUGAAAUGCGCAGAUAUCAGGAGGAACACCCAUGGCGAAGGCAGCACUCUGGGCUGGUAUUGACGCUGAGGAGCGAAAGCAUGGGUAGCGAACAGGAUUAGAUACCCCCCGUAGUCCCUGAGCGGGCUGGCAAGGCGCAU